CCUACGGGAGGCAGCAGUGAGGAAUAUUGGUCAAUGGACGAGAGUCUGAACCAGCGAAGUAGCGUGAAGGAUGACUGCCCUAUGGGUUGUAAACUUCUUUUAUAUGGGACUAAAAUGUUCCACGUGUGGGAUUUUGUAUGUACUAUAUGAAUAAGGAUUGGCUAACUAAGUGACAGCAGCCGCGGUAAUACGGAGGAUCCGAGUGUUAUCCGGAUUUAUUGGGUGUAAAGGGAGCGUAGGUGGAGUGGUAAGUCCGUUGUGAAAGUUUGCGGCUCAACCGUAAAAUUGCAGUUGGAAGUGGCAGUCUUGAGUACAGUAGAGGUGAGCGGAAUUCGUGGUGUAGCGGUGAAAUGCUUAGAUAUCACGAAGAACUCCGAUUGCGAAGGCAGCUCACUGGACUGCAACUGACACUGAGGCGCGAAAGUGUGGGGAUCAAACAGGAUUAGAUACCCGUGUAGUC
rnacentral:rRNA from 1 species